rnacentral:rRNA from 1 species
AGCCUGCCCAGUGACUUUGUUCAACGGCCGCGGUAUCCUAACCGUGCGAAGGUAGCGUAAUCACUUGUUCUUUAAAUGAGGACUAGUAUGAAUGGCAUCACGAAGGUUAUACUGUCUCCUUUUUCUAAUCAGUGAAACUAAUCUUCCCGUGAAGAAGCGGGAAUAGUAAUAUAAGACGAGAAGACCCUAUGGAGCUUUAAACAAAUGUACAAUUGCCCACUUAAUUAAAAAUUUCAGAAGAUAAAUACUUACCCAAGCAAUUUGAUAUUAAAGUUUUAGGUUGGGGUGACCGCGGAGCAAAAAACAACCUCCGCAGUGAAAGGGGGAUCCCCCUAAACUAAGGGCUACUACCCUAAGUAUCAAUAAACUGACACCAGUUGACCCAAUACACUUGAUCAACGAACCAAGUUACCCUAGGGAUAACAGCGCAAUCCACUUCAAGAGCUCCUAUCGACAGUGGGUUACGACCUCGAUGUUGGAUCAGGGUAUCCUAGUGGUGCAGCCGCUACUAACGGUUC